CUGAAAUUGUCUCCUAACAUAGAAGGAAAGGAAGCUUUAGCAUGUUCAUUCUUGCAAGAGAUUGGAGCUAAGCGAAAUCAAGUAUUCUUCUAAUUAAUUCUUGGUAUUCUAAGUCGACUGCAUGUGGCUUCUGUUGUUCAUCUCUCUCUAUUGCACGAGGUAAUGAAUGUUACAAGUUACUUUGGAGCAACCCUUGGAAGAGUCGCUAACGGGAUUGGUGGUGCUCAAUUUACUAUGAAUGGAACGCUUUAUAAGCUUCUUCCUAAUGAAAGCAAAAACAUAAUACAUGGUUGCCGUAAAGGAUUUAGCAAUUUUUCCUGGAAGGUGAGAAAGUAUGUGCAAGAUUG